UUUGGUGGCGAUGGCGGAAGGGUUCCACGCGUACCCAUACCGAACACGACCGUUAAGCCUUCCAGCGCCGAUGGUACUUGGACCAGGGUCCCGGGAGAGUAGGACGUCGCCAAGC
rnacentral:rRNA from 1 species